GCCAUAGCUCAGUGGUAGGCCAUCUGCCUUGCAUGCAGAAAGUUCCAUGUUUGAUCCCUGGUGUCCA